CGGAAAUUUAUGAUUCAUGGGAGAUAUGCAAGGAGCAAGUGAACAGUUACAAAACAGCUGCUACAAAGGAUAUAAGACUAAAAAGGAAGUUGAGGGUCAUUAUGCCAACUAUGUCCAGAGAGAAGCUCAGGAUUAUUAUGCCAACUACGUCCGCGAAGAGAAAAUCAACUAUGAAGUAUGCAAGACCGUGUGGAGAAGUGGACAAGUAAAGAAUUUGAUUAUCUUUAUCCUGCUCAUUCUCAUUAUGAUAUUGUUGUU
rnacentral:lncRNA from 1 species